rnacentral:rRNA from 1 species
GACGAACGCUGGCGGCGUGCUUAACACAUGCAAGUCGAACGGAAAGUCCCUGCUUUUGUGGGCUGCUCGAGUUGCGAACGGGUGAGUAACACGUGAGUUACCUGUCCCUGACUUUGGGAUAACCUCAGGAAACUGGGUCUAAUCCCGGAUAGGAGUUCCCGCUGCUUGGUGGGGGUUGGAAAGUUUCGGCGGUUGGGGAUGGACUCGCGUCUUAUCAGCUUGAUGGUUGGGUAGUGGAUUACCAAGGUUUGGACAGGUAGCCGGCCUGAGCGGGUGGCCGGCCACGUUGGGACUGGGAUACGGCACGGACUCGACUGGGAGGCAGCGGAGGGGAGUAGUGCACAGUGGGCGGAAGCCUGAUGCAGUAACGCCGCGCGCGGGAUGACGGCCUGCGGGUUGUGAACCGAAUUCGCUUGUGACGAAGCGUGAGUGACGGUAACGGGUGAAGAAGCUCCGGCUAACUACGUG